GUGUGUGUGUGUGUAUGUUUGGUUUUUUUCCCGGCUAAUUUGGCUAGAGUUUUGCAGUCAGCACGAGGUGGUUUGUGUUUAUCUCUCAAGUCGAAUUGUUGUUAAUUUGUCUGCAAUAGCAAUGCCCGGACAAGUGAAAAUAUCUUCAUUUUU